UACGAAGGGGGCUAGCGUUGCUCGGAAUGACUGGGCGUAAAGGGCGCGUAGGCGGAUUGUACAGUCAGGCGUGAAAUUCCCGGGCUCAACCUGGGGGCUGCGCUUGAGACGUGCGAUCUUGAGUGGGGAAGAAGGUCGUGGAAUUCCCAGUGUAGAGGUGAAAUUCGUAGAUAUUGGGAAGAACACCGGUGGCGAAGGCGGCGACCUGGUCCUUGACUGACGCUGAGGCGCGAAAGCGUGGGGAGCAAACAGG
rnacentral:rRNA from 1 species